rnacentral:rRNA from 1 species
AACGAACGCUGGCGGCAGGCUUAACACAUGCAAGUCGAGCGCAGGAAGCUGACGGAACUCUUCGGAGGGAAGGCAGUGGAAUGAGCGGCGGACGGGUGAGUAACACGUAAGGAACCUGCCUCAAGGAUUGGGAUAACUCCGAGAAAUCGAAGCUAAUACCGGAUAGUUCAACGGACCGCAUGGUCCGCUGAUGAAAGGCGCUCCGGCGUCACCUUGAGAUGGCCUUGCGGUGCAUUAGCUAGUUGGUGGGGUAACGGCCCACCAAGGCGACGAUGAAUAGCCGACCUGAGAGGGUGAUCGGCCACACUGGGACUGAGACACGGCCCAGACUCCUACGGGAGGCAGCAGUAGGGAAUCUUCCACAAUGGACGAAAGUCUGAUGGAGCAACGCCGCGUGAGUGAUGAGGGUUUUCGGAUCGUAAAACUCUGUUGUAAGGGAAGAACACGUACGAGAGGGAAUGCUCGUACCUUGACGGUACCUUACGAGAAAGCCACGGCUAACUACGUGCCAGCAGCCGCCGUAAAAC